UUGACAUUUGAACUUUGUCCUAUAUAUCAGCUGAUCCAUUGUCGACGGAGUGCUUUCUUUACGAGAAGUUUCAGCCUUGCUCAGUGACAAGUUGAGGGUCACUUAAUGGCUAAACAUUGCCGCUGAUUGUUAGCUGAUAGCUAAGGUAGUAGAGCGAAGGACAGCAUCUUACGGGGAGGGCUGUGUUUUGACGGUUCAAUUGCUCACAAGGAUACAGACUACAAUGGAAGCGUCUGGCGUCACGGGACGAGAUGUAUACGACCUGUUCAACCCAGUCCUGAUUGGUGUUAUUGCCGUGGCGCUUGUUUUCUGUGUGCUGGGGAUCGCGGGGACGAUGUACCUUGUGUGUAAGUACUCACCGUGGUCCUCACCCCGAGGGACAGAGAAGCAAGGGAUCCGGUAUGAGCAUGUGUGAUCAGCGGCUUUACCCCAGGGACUCGUGAGGAGAUUCUGAUGUGACAUUGCUGGAUCACGUUACGGAUCAGGAACUAGUCUCCGGAGUUGAUGUCUGGAACCAUACAUCUGUCGCUAUCUGCAACACGUCCUGGUGUCACUGUGGUUCAAGGACGGAAUCUCCUUCGCGUCACCUAUAUCUGAAGAUGGGUGCUUGUUACAUGAGGUGGUCUUUCUCUGCUCAUUACCAGAAGGCCAGCGAACAGUUGUCCAGUCUUGUUUUGAUGCCAUGAAGCAAGCUCCUCACCAAGACUUGUACGGAUGUCAAAGAGCCAGUUAUCCAUUAAGUCAUGUUUAGUUGCCAUGUUUAGUUGCUCACCAAGAUGUAUGAUGAUAUCCGAUCGUGUCUGCACAAAAAUCAGACAUCUUCGACUCCAGAACAUCUUCAUAGUCUCUGUCAGGGAUGAACAUGCAUCUUUUCUAGUGAAAUUGUAUUUUCAAGUGGCAUUUAGAAACAUUGGUAUCAGUGAAAACACGCUUGACUGAUGGAUGUCCUCUGCUUUGCUGUAUAUAUGCGAUGUUUGGACACAGGUGCUUGUUUCUUGGUCAAGUGGCCAGUGAUACAUAUAAGUUGUCCCAGAAACAAUACCAGGCUUUCACAAACUUGAAAUCAGUUUUAAUUUUGAUAGAAGUGAACAUUAACUCAAAAUGUGUUCUAAUUCAAAACCGUACAGAGCAUUCAGUGCGGUAGUUUUUAUUAACAAACUUCUGAAUGAGGUUGACAUGCAUACAGUAGAAUAGUUUCCAAUAUAUAUUUUCCAUUGCACUUGUAAUGAAAUAUUAGUCAAGGUAAAGGAUUAACUGUUUUGAGAAAAUAUUACGAGUCAUCUUGAUCCUCCAGAUAUGAUGUGUCUUGAUGAUCGAUAUUAUGUAUUUCCUCAUUAAAAGAAGAUUACACUUGCUUUAGAAGCAUACAAGCAACGAUCUAACAAUGAAGACGUACAUUUUAUAAAAAUAUCCUUAUGGGAAGGACUUGAAUAUCUGAAUGAACACUAAUUCCUGAAAUAGUUUCCCAGCUUUGGACUGAGGAGAUAAGGGUUAAUGUACAUAUCCAUAGCCUUUGAAGAACCGUAGUCGUGUCGAUUAAUCUGUCAGAUGAACAUUACAAUUUCUUCACUAAUGGAAAUAGGAUUCUCAAUGUAAACAUGGAGACGUGUCUCGGUUGGCCUGAUACUGUGAAUAAUCCAGUCGUUGUGUAUAGCUGCCUUGCUGUCAGUAUAUACAGUAUGUACAUAGUCACUUGCGGCAUCUGCACGAACGUUGGUACAUAUUACCUGGACGGAACGGUUGGUAUUGCCUUCCCCCAUUUGAUAUAUGUGUAUCCAUGUAGUUACAUCUACUCACCAUGGUCCUCUGUGGGGGUUUUACAACCCACAUACACAGUCAAACACGCUUGUGUCGAAGUUUGAGGUGUCAACCAUGCGGUUGUCUCGAAAUACAAGCUUGAUCCACUUUCCUAAUUAACUAGGUAUUUGAGGAUGUGUCUAACACAUGUAAAACUGACAUUAUUUGCGGGUGUGUCACAAAUCGGAUAACUUUACACAGUAUUUACACAGGACCCUUUAACUUCGACACCACGUUGUUUGACUGUAUAAGAUGUCAGUGCUGGAAGUAUGGCAAGCGUAGUUGUCCGCACAUUGUCAAAAUCUUGUUAGGGUCACAGAGACAUAUUACUCUUUGAUUAUAAUGUACAUACUAAUUAUAAUGGAUUUGGUUCACAGCCACUGUAAACGAUACAAAACCGUUAGUUUCCCCAUCGUAAUGUUUUCAUUCAUCGAAGGUACAUGCGCUGAUAAUAUUUGAUAUUGUGUUACUUCCAAUGAGCCAUGCAACGAAGCUAGGUAGAUACGUAUAUUACCUUCCACGUCUUUUACGUUUACAUAUAUUUGCCAGGCGGAGAUAAGACAUAUUCAUACAUGAAGAAACAUUCCAAAGAGUCUGUUCGUGACGAGUCAAACUUUGUGAUUUCCUUCCUUUUUGAGAAAGUCAAAUGGCUCGAUAUUUGUUGUGAUUUACGAAAAGUUUUAAUGUUUGAAAUACUGUCUAUAAACGAUCCCGUUGUAUAAGUGCCUGUGACGUAUAUAUGUACACAUAUAUGUUGGCCUGGUUUAAACAUUGAAUGUUCUGUUCAUUGACUUUUAUAAUAAAGAAUGAACUAUU
rnacentral:lncRNA from 1 species